AAGACGAGGAAGAAGGCAAGAUGGCGGACCGGGUGCAGCGUAUUUUCUGAGCUCCGUCUUUUUGUCCUAAUUUUACACAUACUUUAAAAUCCACCUCAAUUCUAUGUGAUCGUAUGAAUCUCUAAUACAUCAUACCGACGCUUUAACCAUACAGUGCUCCGGAAAUUGCAGCAUGAAGACGAACAAGAAGCUCUCUUCAGCCCGCAGUAGCUCGGAGAUUUACGGUCAUGAUGAUGCUAAGAUGGAGGUCUCUACCGAGAGCUCCAAAAGAAAAGAGCCUUUCUCUCCAGCGAAGAACCCACCAGCAACUAAAAAGAAGGACACUGGGUCAGAGGAAGAUGUCCAGCAGCUGUUGGUGAGUAAAGAAGAGCUUCCACCUGAGCAGCAGGAGUGGAGCCACAUUCUGGACCAGGAGGACACUAAGCCCCAACACAUUAAAGAAGAACAUGAGGAACUGUGGAUCAGUCAGGAGGAAGAACAGCUUCAAGGACUGGAGGAGGCUGAUACCACCAAGUUCCCCUUCACUCCUGUUUCUGUGAAGAGUGAAGAUGAUGAAGAGAAACCUCAGUCCUCACAGCUUCAUCAGAGACAAACUGAACAGAUGGAAACAGGAGUUGAUGGAGAGGACUGUGGAGGAGCAGAACCAGAGAGAGACUCAGAUCCAGAGAGACGUUUACAACCAGAGACUGAGGUCGAGACUGAAGACUCUGAUGAACCUGAGACUGAUGACAGUGACGAUUGGCAAGAGACAAGAGAAGAUCUGUCAGAAUUAAACUUGAAAAAUAAGAAACUAAAGACUGGUAAGAGACAACACAGCUGCUCGGAGUGUGGUAAAAGAUUUAACCGAAAAGGGACUCUGACCAGACACAUGUUGGUUCAUACAGGAGAGAAACCCUUCAGCUGCUCUGUUUGCAGUAAAAGUUUUACCUAUAGAGGAUAUCUGACCAAACACAUGAUGAUUCACACAGGAGAGAAACCCUUCAGCUGUUCUGAGUGUGGUAAAAGGUUAAGUUCUGAGGCACAGCUGACCAGACACAUGUUGGUUCACACAGGAGAGAAACCGUUCACCUGCUCUGUUUGCAGUAAAAGCUUUACCCAAAGAGGACACCUGACCGCACACAUGUUAGUUCACACAGGAGAGAAAGACUUCAGCUGCUCUGUUUGCAGUAAAAGCUUUACCCGAAGACAACUUCUGACCACACACAUGUUAAUUCAUACAGGAGAGAAACCCUUCAGCUGCUCUGUUUGCAGUAAAAGUUUUACCCAAAGAGGAACUCUGACCACACACAUUUUAGUUCAUACAGUAGAGAAACCCUUCAGCUGCUCUGAUUGCAGUAAAAGUUUUACUCAAAGAGGAAGUCUGACCACACACAUGUUAAUUCAUACAGGAGAGAAACCCUUCAGCUGUUCUAUUUGCAGUAAAAGCUUUACCCAAAGAGGAAGUCUGACCACACACAUGUUAGUUCAUACAGGAGAGAAACCCUUCAGAUGCUCUGUUUGCAGUAAAAGCUUUACCCAUAAACAAAGUCUGACCACACACAUGUUAGUUCAUACAGGAGAGAAAGCUUUCAGCUGCUCUGUUUGCAGUAAAAGCUUUACCCAUAGAAUAAGUCUGACCACACACAUGUUAGUUCAUAUAGGAGAGAAACCCUUCAGCUGCUCUGUUUGCAGUAAAAGCUUUACCCUAAGAGGUAGUCUGACCACACACAUGUUAGUUCAUACAGGAGAGAAACCCUUCAGCUGUUCUGUUUGCAGUAAAAGUUUUACCCAAAGAGGAAGUCUGAACAAACACAUGAUGAUUCACACAGCAGAGAAACCCUUCAGCUGCUUUGAGUGUGGUAAAAGGUUUAGUUCUAAGGGACAUCUGAACAGACACAUGAUGAUUCACAUAGGAGAGAAAUGCUAAUCCUUUGUAAUGUUAAAACUGAUCCAAAGGAUUCUAAGUUAACAACAUCACUAAUGUGUAUUCAUAAGUAUGUAUUGACUAACAGAUGUAUAACUGUUGUUAUAAAGGGAUAUAAGACAAUUCUAUUCACAGAAAUCUGUCUGUACUUUUUUGACAUUGAUGUUUUGUUGCUGACAUUUGAACCAGUAAGUUGGGAUCAGCUAUGACGUUUGAAUUUAAAGUGUUUAUAUUGUUGAAAGAUCAGAAAGAGUUAUGCAAUUGUUGAAUUUUUUUCAUCAUAUAUUUACUUUUUCUUUUAUUAUCAUUUAAUCAGUUUAUCAUUUACUUCAUAUAUUUACUUUUGUUAUCACUUAAUCUUUUCAUCAUAUUCAUUCAUAUGUCAUAUUGUCGCUACGACUUUUGGUUUUACAGAAUCUUGAAAAAAAGAGACCGUCUGGCUAUGAAAACACUGUGGAAAAGCUGAUCGGGGUUCUUUUUUACUUUUCUAAAGGGCUCCACGUCACUCUGACUUUUGAAUCCCCAUUUUGGGACAUAGUCUCUGAGACCAAGAUCUUUUAUAACCUCAAGUGUCUACACUGUGUCUACACUCUCGGGUUUAGACUUUGGUCUUUGUGUUUUGCUUUUCUUUUUACAUUUUUAUAUUUUUACUUUUACUGUUUUGUAUUUGCAUUUGGAAUAUCAUUUGAUGUUUUUUAAUACAUUUUCGGAAACUUUUUGAAA